GGAGAGGUGGCAGAGUGGUUGAAUGCGCCGGUCUCGAAAACCGGUAUUGCCUUCGGGUAAUCGAGGGUUCGAAUCCCUCCCUCUCCG
rnacentral:tRNA from 1 species